CUGGUUGGAAGGUAGUGAGUUAUCUCAAUUGAUUAUUCACAGUCCGCUACAGAUUGAACUCCUGUUCUAUACUUUUUCCACUUCUCACUUCUGCACAUGACUAAGGAUAG
rnacentral:Y_RNA from 14 species